UCUGAAGCUAUGGAGGGGUGUCUGAAGACGGGCUGUGUGCUGAAGAAGUAGCAAUCACAGCAUCAAUGAAGACAUCUCUAUAUGAUAGACUGCUACACACAGAGAUGAUUUACUUGGAAAGAGGUUCAGAAGAGGGCCUUUGUACUACAAGUACCUGGAAAGGGAAAGCAAAGAGCUGAAGAUCAGUCUGAGUGGAUGCCACUUCUGUCAGAUGUUUGGCUGUGUCACAGCCAUACCUGUUCCUGUCCAUGGACUCCAC